GUCGAGCGUUGUGGCGUGCGCCUGUAAUCCAGUUACUUGGAGGCUUGGGUUGGAGGACGGUGUGAGAUUGGGAGCUCUGUGGCGCUCUGUCCUAUGUCGAUCGGGCGUCUGCGCUAAGCUCGGCGUCAAUAUGGGCAUUCCAGAGGAGUCCGGAGUGGCCAGGUUGUCUAAGGAGGAACGCACCGGGCGAGGCCCGUAAGGAAGCAGCCAAAAGUUCCCACGUUUUUUUUUAAUGUUAUUUAAUUUUUCUGGUGUAACAAAAAAGGUACAUGUAUAUGUAAACAGGGUCCCCAGUUUAUUCAACGACAUAUAAUAAGUAUU
rfam:Ciona savignyi cont_9477, whole genome shotgun sequence.